rnacentral:lncRNA from 1 species
CACACUAAGAAGAAAACAAGUUGAAAAGAUAUUACACACUUUUCCGAUCAAACAAGUAAAGAGAGAGUUUUAGAAUAAAAUGUUUGAUGUUUUGCAAAUGAGAGAUACAUGGAGUUUAUAUAGAGAAGGGAGGACGAAGGAGAGGAGAGAAGACAAGAGAAAACAUGCAAGAGCAUGCACAAGUGUCUUGUAAAUUACACUCAUGCAAGCUCAUACAAGAGUCUUGGAAAUAACAACAAGUAAUAAAUGCAAAGUUUGAAGAGAAAAUGGAAAAUGGGCCAAGGCUUUGUGAGUGGGCCUUGGACCACGAAUUGGGCUGGUAAAGAGAGGCUUGAAAGUGUAACUUAGGCCUCAUUAAAAACCUUGUCAAGAAAACCCAUUGGGACAAAACUUGACAAGGGAAAAAGAGUGCAUAAGCAACACUUAACCCUUUACCGAACCACUUGAGCCGUGAUAACUAUUAAGGAGGAUGGAGCAACAUCUUCUUGAAUCUUGUUUAUCUCCUUGAGUAAUCCAUUGAUGGCUUGGUUGAACAUCUUGGCUCUUGAUCUUGUUAGAGGACCCACCGGGACGAUCAAUGCUUCCUCCAGUACAAGCUGUUCUUCGUGGCCGGUGGUUUGUGGCCGUGUGUUCUCGGCUUCAAGUAGCUCCUCGUCUUUGUGUGGUUCAAGUGAACUGGCCAUGAUCUCAUCAGAUAUACUUGGAAACGAAUAAGGAAACUACAUUUUACCUUCAUGUGGACGUGUCUCAAAACAGGAGAACCUUUACAGCCGCUAGAGAAUAUGUGGAGAAUAUUCACGCACAAUAAUAGUAAUCGGCUGAAGCGGAUUCAAUCCUAUUAUUACUUGCCUUUUUGGACCUGAUCGUUAUCAA